CAGGGAUUGCCUCAGUAACGGCGAGUGAAGCGGCAACAGCUCAAAUUUGAAAUCUGGCCCUCUCAGGGUCCGAGUUGUAAUUUGGAGAAGAUGCUUCGGGUGCGGCGCCGGUCUAAGUUCCUUGGAACAGGACGUCACAGAGGGUGAGAAUCCCGUACGUGCCCGGUGGCCGCCCUAUGUGAAGCUCUUUCGACGAGUCGAGUUGUUUGGGAAUGCAGCUCAAAAUGGGUGGUAAAUUUCAUCUAAAGCUAAAUACUGGCCAGAGACCGAUAGCGCACAAGUAGAGUGAUCGAAAGAUGAAAAGCACUUUGGAAAGAGAGUUAAACAGUACGUGAAAUUGUUGAAAGGGAAGCGCUUGCAACCAGACUUGCGCGCGGUCGAUCAUCCGGUGCUCGCACCGGUGCACUCGGCCGCGCGCAGGCCAGCAUCGGCCUGGGUGGCUGGACAAAGGCCUCGGGAAUGUGGCUCCCUCCGGGGAGUGUUAUAGCCCGAGGCGCAAUGCAGCCCACCUGGACCGAGGACCGCGCUCCGGCUAGGAUGCUGGCGUAAUGGUUGCAAGCGACCCGUCUUGAAACACGGACCAAGGAGUCUAACAUCUAUGCGAGUGUUUGGGUGUCAAACCCAUACGCGUAAUGAAAGUGAACGGAGGUGAGAACCCUGAAGGGCGCAUCAUCGACCGAUCCUGAUGUCUUCGGAUGGAUUUGAGUAAGAGCAUAGCUGUUGGGACCCGAAAGAUGGUGAACUAUGCCUGAAUAGGGUGAAGCCAGAGGAAACUCUGGUGGAGGCUCGCAGCGGUUCUGACGUGCAAAUCGAUCGUCAAAUUUGGGCAUAGGGGCGAAAGA
rnacentral:rRNA from 1 species